CCACUUGUUAUCCCUUUCCAGCAGGAUUUAGCACCGUUAACAACAACUCUCUGACUACGGUUGUCCAGCCAACUAUGCACCCACGUUAUCGUGGCCCUAUCUAAUGAUCUAAUGGUGUCUUUGGAUUUUAAAUCUAGGAAUAAUAAUAAUGAUCCCCGCCUUAUGAUUUUUGCUUCCUAGGAGCAUGCAGACUGUAUCCUGCAUCCAAGAUGUUUAAUCUCAGAAAUCAUAUAAUUUUAUUAAAUGUUAUUUGGUCUUAACAGAGAUAUUGAGGAAAAUAUGCAUUUUAUAAAUUAUUAUUACUAAUAUUACAUUAACACCCACAGGAUGUUAGGCACAGAACAGCCGUAUUGCAAGAAACAGUCUCUGCCCCAAAGAGCUUACAAUAGAAAAAGACAGACAACAUGAUUGUGUCAGAAAAAGGGUGCAAUAUACAAGCAAAGUGGUGGCAGUGAUAACUGGCAUAUGUCUUGAUAGUUUCAUGUAUUUUAAUACAGAGGAUGGAUCACUUGAUGAGUCUUGUUCCAUUCAUUUUCUCUGAAGUACCUGCCAUUGGCCAGUGUCAGAAGACAGGAUACUGGGCUAGGUGGACCUUUGGUCUCGCCCAGGAUGGCUGGUUUUAUGUUCUUAUGCAAUAAUACUUGUCAUUUCUGCAAACUCUCCUAACCACCUCUUUUAUGUGAAUUUUAUGUUUGGGUUCAGACAAGAACAGGUUGAAUAAUUAUCUCUAUCUUAGAAGUCUCAGAGGGGCAGCUGUGUGAGUUUGUAACCUUAAAAAAAAUGUGUAGUCCUGUAGUAUAUUAGAGGCUAAAAAAAUGUAUAUAUAAUAUCAUGAGUUUUUGUGGAGCUUCUUCAGAUGAGUGGAGCAGUGGAGCAGUGGAGCAGUGUCAUAUUGUAUAUGUAUAUGAUAUGUAUAUGAUUGCAAAAUAUAUCAUUAUACAUCUUAUUAUGUGAAUUGAAUGUCUUGGAAUAUGAUCCCUGAGUCCGAUACAUUGCUUUCUUCCUUUGCUAUAAGGAUAACAGAUUGACAUGUCACUAGUGAUUGUAGUAUUGAGACAAAGUGGUUUGCCAUUUGCCAGGUAGAUUACAUUAUCAAGAUUAUUUAGUCUUCUUUACAUUUUAUGAGAGUAAAACAUACGUUAUAAGAGUAAGUGUCAUUUUUGGUUGUCAUCAUUAGUUCCUUUGGUUUUCAUAUGUAGUCCCAUUUAGUAUUUCCCAUCUGUUUUAUGUUUGCUUGGUUUUGUUUUUUUGGAAGAAUUCACUCGAAGGAACUUCUUAGCAUAUGUUCAAUGUGCCAUGGGGGAGGGGGCACAUGAUCAGGAUUCAUCACUGAAUCUGGUUCACUGAUUGUAUCAUUAGGUUCCCUGGGUAGGGCCGGGUACAGACUGGGAGUUCAAUGUCAAUGCUGAUCCAUGUCCCCUUCCAUAGGAAAUACAGGAUGGUGCAAUUUAUGUUGGAGCUGGGCCUGAAGUGAACAGUGACUUGAUUUUCUCCACCUGCUUAUCGCCACAUAUAUUAUAGACUCAGAAAGGCAAUUUAAGCUGGACAUUCAAUAUUGCCCCUAGAUGAUCAGUUGAUCUCUGAAUUUAUAUGGCAAGUAUACAGAUGGAACUGCUAUGCAAAGCAAUCUCAUCACAUUUCAGACUGGCAUAAGUAAUACCUGCACAUGUGAUUGACUUGAAAGUUACUUUCCAUGAAGGUUUAUGUCAAUAAAAGCUGAUCUCACAAAUUUGUAUGGAAAGGAAAAACAAAAGGUGUGCUCAGAGCCAUAAUCAUCAGUCCGGCCCCAAUGGAAGUGAAACUGUUGCAGCCUGUAGUUUCCAGUGAGAGGUCCACCAGUCACCACUGCACAGAAAUGAAAUAACUUGUUAAGAUCAAGUUUGGAGACAGACAGCACAGAGGCUGGCAGUGUACUUGAUGCUGCACAGAUCUUUGGAAAGACAUCUUCCCUCUCCCCAAGGAGCUUCCAAUCUAAAUAGAAACAAACAACAGAUGUGUGAGUGAAGGCCUGGACUAUGGUUGGGCCUGUCAAGAUGUGGCCAGAUCACUGGAUAUUGGAACCCAUUUUGAAUAUGGUACUUUUCCAUUGGGAUGUGAAAGGGUUGAAGAUGAACACAAAGUAUUCCUGCGUUGGACAAAAUCUAGGGAAUCAGACAAUAGAGGAUUUGGCAAUUGUGAGACACCAAGACACUCCCUGCUUACUACCAUAAUGACUCCUGGAAACAAGUAAGACUGAAUAGAGGUAUCCAGACACUACAGACUCUCCUGUGCACUCUAUUAGAUAUCUACAGAGAAGAUAAACAGCUGAACUUUUGAAUCACUGAAAUUUCAACAAAAUUGCAACACUCCAGGAAAAAUAUCUAAUUUCUUACAUAGAGCUUAAUGCCAAAAUCUUCGUUAUAUGUACAUAGACUGAUUGACUUUAAAUCCAUAAAAGAUGCAUCUAUCUAAUCUAAUCUAAUCUAAUCUAAUCUAAUCUAUCAAUAUUUAUAAAGCUUGUAUUGCCAUCUUAUUUCUCGGAUUGAACCAAAAUUCAUUGAAAUCAAAGGGAGUCUUUUCUUUAACUUCAGUGGGCUUUGUAUCAUGCCCUAGAUAUUAUAUUUGACAGAAUUUGUUCCUUAGCAAUUAUUGAUAUCUUGUAAAAUAUUGUAUCCAAUUUGGUUUUCCUUUUACAUUUUCUUUUUUAAAAUGCCCCCUUUCUAACAUUGUUUAAUAUAUAACACUGAACAGGUUUAAUUGACUUUCUUUUUAACACAAUUGAUAUCUUAUUAUUGUCAUCUCAAGCAAUAGUUAAAGUGUUAGGUUUUAGGAACAUUUGUCUACGUAUAUUCCAUCACUGAAAAAUCUUUGAUGUAAGAUUCUGUCAUUGCAUAGCAUCAGUAACUAUUUGUAAAACAUUGUGGACAUACAUGCUGCUGUAUACAUUGGAUUAAUAAAUUCUCUAUUGGGUGUAUUU